ACAAAUAGUGUAGAAAAGUUUUCUUUUACCAAACCUAUGAGACUCUUUUCUUCCUUCCGAAAUCUUCUUUUCUGUUUCACAGCUCAAACUCAAAUCGGAUUAUUUUUAAAACUCUUCAUGAUUGAUACUACAUGUUUGUUUGAUUUUUGAAGAUCUGUUGUUGAUUGGUUAAUCGAGAUGGAUUUUAUUAUGUUUUGUUGAAAUUUAAAAGAAGUGAUAAUGGAUUACAAAUCCUUGAAUCUUUUUUUCCAAUCUCUCACUCUAAACUAGAAAUCCUCGGGAGUUUUCUUCUGAUCCUCUUGUUUCUAUUGGGGGGACGCAUACCUGAAGCCGAGCCUUACUUUUUUUUUUUUUUGAAGCAUAGCCGAGCCUUCCUGGGUAGCAAUGCCUCUCCUAGUGGUGAGCAGGUGGUGAAAUUUGGAAAAUAAAGUGGAGCAAUGUGCAAGAAUUCGUAAGUCUCUGUAUUUAUAAUGGGACUAUGAAGAGUUUUUGCCAUUUUGGACGAUUGACAUCACUUUUAUUUGUAUAGCACCGUUGUUGGCAUAUCCGUAUCAUUACAACCUGUACAUUUUUCAUGAAGUCUUGUACCUAUUUCAAAAACUCAAUCAACUUACUGUUCAAAGCUGAAAGAUAUCUCAAGAAGACUGUUGGGGACGCCUGGUUUGAGUUAGGCAUGCAGUAAUGACUGCUUCCAUUUUAAAAUUUAGACCUUUGUAAAAUUUGUUAUGUACUGGUGGUCAUUUUGAUGUUUUGUUCGUUUGGAGUUUGUAAUUCUCUUGCUGACAAGUGACAAUACAUUAAACAAAAUUUUCUUA